UACGUAGGGGGCAAGCGUUGUUCGGAAUUAUUGGGCGUAAAGCGCGUGUAGGCGGCUUUGCAAGUCGGGUGUGAAAGCCCUCAGCUUAACUGAGGAAGUGCGCCCGAAACUGCAGAGCUUGAGUACCGGAGAGGAUGGUGGAAUUCCCCAAGUAGAGGUGAAAUUCGUAGAUAUGGGGAGGAACACCGGUGGCGAAGGCGACCAUCUGGACGGAUACUGACGCUGAGACGCGAAAGCGUGGGUAGCAAACAGG
rnacentral:rRNA from 1 species